CGAAAACAGAGUGGCAGGGUGGUGUCUCCUGCGUCCGUCCUUUGACGGAUUCUGCUUAGUCCUCG
rnacentral:ncRNA from 1 species